UCAACACAAAAAUUUAGAGAGAAUGCAUAUUGAAGAAGAAGAUCCAAAAAUCCACAAUCAAUAACAUAAAAUCUACAAUCAAGAAUCAAGUUGAAGGAAUUCAAGAAUCAAAAUUAUGGAUCCAGAAGGAAAACCAAGAACAAAAAUCAAAGAAUUCAAGGAGGCAAAAAUUCAAGAUUGAAAGCAAGAAACCAAUCAAGAAGGGAUUCCAGGUUGAUUUUGAAGAUUCAAGAUAUGAAAUUAAGAUCUAGUAAUAAAAAAUCGUUCCCAAAGAAUUAAGGUAUGUUUUGCAUUAUUAAUUUUCUUUGUGAUUUGACAUGAAAGAUCUUAACAAUAAAGUAAUUAAGUUUUUAUGUUAUUAAGAUUUGAAGUUCCAAAAAAUAUCAACAAUGUAAUCCUAAUGGAAAAAAGUCUCACCUUAAUUACAGAUUCUAAUUCAGAAAGUGGGGUAAGAUAAUCCUACAGAGGUAGUGUGAAUCAUUAUAAGAGAAAGAUUUGAUUUUAUUUGUUAAUAUAAAGCACCAAAGGUAGAUUUGCUAUCUUUUCACCGAAAGCACAAGUGUAUGGUAUAUUGACAAGUAAUAAUCUUAUUAUCAAUUUCUAUUCUAAUGACUAAACCUAGCUUCAAAUAAAACUAAUAUUGUUACCAAGUAAUGACUUAAGGAUUGAAUUUAAACUAAGAUUGUACUGAAAUAUAUCUAACACAAUUAACACAAGGAGACUUUUUGGAAAACUUAGGGGAUUUGGUAGUUAGGACCUUUGAUUUCACUUAACGUCAGUUAAUUUUCAUUAGUUUCAAUAUCCUAUGGCCUUUUUCUAUAUGUGUUAACAAUCAAAAUAACAAAUUAUAACUAAUGAUCUCUCUCGAGUAAAAUUAUGUAUUAUAUCUUAUUAUAUUGAUGGAAAGAGGUAAAAUGAAAAGUUAUAACGAAGCAAUAAAGUUUGAUGAAUCAAUCAAGUGAAAGUCAGCCAUGAGGGAUUAUAUGAACUCAUUAUUGUCUAAUUAGACAUGAUAGUUGACAAAGUUACCACGAGGAAAGUUGACUAUGUAAAAUAAAUGGGUAUAUUGAUUAAAAGAAGAACAUUAUGACAGUAAAUGAUAUAAAGCCAAACUGGUUUUGAAGGAAUAUCAAAAUAAAGUUAUGCUAAGAAUUUCUCUCUUGUAAUGAAACUAACAACAUCUACAGGUAAUUGGACAGAUGGUAUAGAAAGAAUUGCACCUAGGGCAAUUGGAUGUAAGGACGGUCCUUUUUUCAUGGUGAUUUGGACGAAAAAAUUACAAGAUGCAAAUAUAAGUUUUCGAGGUACAAAAACAGGGGAAAAUGGUAUGUGGACUUUAAAAUAGUUUGCAUAGUCUUAAAUUAGUUUGGAGAGAGUGUUAUUAGUGGUUUGAUAGUUUUAUUAGGAGUAAUGGCUUCAUAAGGUGCCACAUGGAUCAUUGUUGUUAUGUAAGGAAUCUUGGUAUCUCCUAUAUUAUCUAAUGGGUAUAUGUGAUUGUAGGUGCUUGCAAAAAUGAAGUGACAAGUUCAAAAAUGAGUUAUCCAAUGAACUUACAAAGAAGAAUUUGGGUGUUAUAAAAUAAAUUCUCGAGAUGAGAAUUACAAAGGACAGUGUCAUCUUGAAACUUUCACAAGAAUAGUAUGUGAAGAAGGUGUUGAGCAGGUUCAUGAUAAUGUAAAAUGAAUAAGCACUCCUUUGACUAGUGACUUCAAGCUAUCCAAUGAGCAGCCACCCUCUACGAAACAAGAGUGGAACUACAUAGUUAAGAUGCCUUAUGCCUAUUUUAUUGAAUCUUAUGUAUACCAUAGUGUGAUCGAAGCUAGCAAAGAAAUAAUAUGGUUGUAGUCUUUCUUGGAAGAAUUGUGUCACGUUGUAUUGUA
rnacentral:lncRNA from 1 species